rnacentral:lncRNA from 1 species
GAUGUGGCAUGCAAUAAGCCUGUUGACUGAAAUGUUAUAAAUGACAUGAUUUUUGCCAUCCUAGUCAGAAUCCUCUGCAUUUCAGUUUUGGGGUUUGCCUUCCAGCUCCCCGCCCCCCAACCCCAAGAAGGCAAGUGUCAAAUUAACAGCUCCAAAACUAAUAAACUGAGUGAGUUCAUGGGGAAAUUAUGGUCCUGAAGGAAGCGGGACUUGCUUCCUUCUUGCUGAAGCCAAAUCCUGAAGACUUGGAGCCCAGCGUCAAGAAAACCCUCUGAGUUCCUUCGCUCCAGGGCUCUCGCGGCCCUGUCGUCUUCCGCGUGCAAUCGCAGGGCCCACCGGAGGCCUGGGCCUACAGCUUGGAGAAGAAGCCUCCGGAAUUCUUUCAAGAGAAGCAUAAAUCCAAGUUCAAGUCUUGGAAACUCAGCAAGGAAUGAUGAAAAAUAAAGUUUCCCUGAUUAGACGAGACCCGCAGAUGACUGGAAGUAGAAUCUGAAACUGUUCUCUGUGUUGCUCAAGAAGUCGCUGUCCCGCCCUUCAGAGUGCCAUGUCUCCACCCCGCCUCGACUCAGUGACAGAAAAAAUCAGUUGUUAGUACCUGACAGAAGAGUCAAGAGGGACAGAAAUUACAGUUUAAUUACUGAUAUACUGGAGGCAAAACUCAGGCUCCAUUUCCUAAAGAUACAUUCGAGAUGUGGUGACCUCACUUCCCUCCUUUGUCAGCCGAUGGAGGCCUGAUUGUGGUCUUCACUCUGGAAUUCCUCCCACCCACACCCAGGAGAGCUCCACAGAGGCAUGGAGCUCCACUAGUGGGUUUCAUGUUUGAGGAAGCCUCCCAAAUGUUUACUUAUCUGAAAUAAAGUGGCACAGGAAUAUGGAAACAUCAACCGUCUUUUGCUUUUGGCUGAAAUAGUGUAAACUCACCAGUUGAGACAUUGACC